AGAGUUUGAUCCUGGCUCAGAAUGAACGCUGGCGGCGUGCUUAACACAUGCAAGUCGCACGAGAACGCUUCAGCUUGCUGGAGCUAGUAAAGUGGCGCACGGGUGAGUAACGCGUGGGUAAUCUACCUCCGAAUUGGGGAUAACACUGCGAAAGCGGUGCUAAUACCGAAUGACAUCUCAGAGACCUUGGUUUCGGAGAUCAAAGGUGGCCUCUACAUGUAAGCUACUGUUUGGAGAUGAGCCCGCGUACCAUUAGCUAGUUGGUAGGGUAAUGGCCUACCAAGGCUGCGAUGGUUAGCUGGUCUGAGAGGAUGAUCAGCCACACUGGAACUGACACACGGUCCAGACUCCUACGGGAGGCAGCAGUGAGGAAUUUUGCGCAAUGGGGGAAACCCUGACGCAGCAACGCCGCGUGAGUGAUGAAGGCUUUCGGGUCGUAAAGCUCUGUCAAGUGGGAAGAAUCUGCCCUAUGAUAAUACCAUGGGGCACUGACGGUACCACUGAAGGAAGCACCGGCUAACUACGUGCCAGCAGCCGCGGUAAUACGUAGGGUGCAAGCGUUAAUCGGAAUUACUGGGCGUAAAGCGUGCGCAGGCGGUUAGGUAAGACAGAUGUGAAAUUCCCGGGCUCAACCUGGGAACUGCAUUUGUGACUGCCUGACUAGAGUGCGGCAGAGGGGAGUGGAAUUCCGCGUGUAGCAGUGAAAUGCGUAGAUAUGCGGAGGAACACCGAUGGCGAAGGCAACUCCCUGGGCCUGCACUGACGCUCAUGCACGAAAGCGUGGGGAGCAAACAGGAUUAGAUACCCUGGUAGUCCACGCCCUAAACUAUGAAUGCUAGUCGUCGGGGAGCUCGUCUCUUCGGUGAUGCAGUUAACACAUUAAGCAUUCCGCCUGGGGAGUACGGUCGCAAGAUUAAAACUCAAAGGAAUAGACGGGGACCCGCACAAGUGGUGGAGCAUGUGGUUUAAUUCGAAGAUACGCGAAGAACCUUACCUGGCCUUGACAUUGAUAGAAUCUGCUAGAGAUAGCGGAGUGCCCUUCGGGGAGCUUGAAAACAGGUGCUGCACGGCUGUCGUCAGCUCGUGUCGUGAGAUGUUGGGUUAAGUCCCGCAACGAGCGCAACCCUCGUCCUUAGUUACUAACGGUUCGGCCGAGGACUCUAAGGAGACUGCCUUCGUAAGGAGGAGGAAGGUGAGGACGACGUCAAGUCAUCAUGGCCCUUACGGCCAGGGCGACACACGUGCUACAAUGCCGCGUACAAAGGGAUGCAAAUCCGCAAGGAAGAGCAAAUCUCAAAAAGCGCGGCUCAGUUCGGAUUGAGGGCUGCAAUUCGCCCUCAUGAAGCUGGAAUCGCUAGUAAACGCAGAUCAGCGUGCUGCGUUGAAUACGUUCUCGGGCCUUGUACACACCGCCCGUCACACCAUGGAAGUUAGGAACACCCAGAGUCCGCCUUAGGCGGAUGAAGGUGGUAUUAAUGACUGGGGUGAAGUCGUAACAAGGUAACC
rnacentral:rRNA from 1 species